ensembl:rRNA 5S_rRNA 5S ribosomal RNA
GCUCAUGGCCUUACCAGUUGAAGAACACCCAAUCUCGUAUGAUCUUGGAAGCUAAGAAGGCCUCGACCUGGUUAGUACUUGGAUGGGAGACUGCCUGGGAAAACCAGGUGCUUUAAGCU